AGCGAGCAGACCUCUGGGGUCACAGACCAUUUAUAACGGAGCGUGGUGCUCACUAACGCGGCUUUGGAGCUACAGCAAAGCGCAGCAAAAGCCUUGGGAAAAGUUCAGAGUGAGAUGAGAUCGAGGCUUUCUCGUCUGGGCAAGGCGAGGAGGCUGCCGUCACCUGGCUGGCGGGGAGACCUUAACCCCAUGGACUUCAGAGUCCGGCCCCUUGGCCCGGUGCACCCUGGGAAAUCCCCUGACUGCUACACUGGGGAGUGACUGUGGUGAGGGACGUGUCCUCCCCCAGGGCCUCUGCCCUCCAUUUGCCUCACAACCCAGGGCCCAGCACAGUCGGAAUCACCAAGGUGGCCCAGGAAUAGAGGAUGUAGCCAAAGGGAUCCAGAAGAGUUAGGCUUCAGAAUUCCGCCCACUCAUGGACAGCCAGGUCCCAGUGAGGGCCAAGAAAGACCAGCUCCCUACACCAUGAGCCUGGCUGAGGAGCCAGCCUG
rnacentral:lncRNA from 1 species